UCUCACUGGUGUCUGUAACAGCUUCUGCCUAUUACCACCUGAAGAACAUCACUAGAAUCAAGAGUUUUCUGUCCAAACAAGACACAGAAAAACUUGUUCAUGCAUUUAUUUUCAGUAGGUUAAAUUAUUGUAAUGGUGUCUUCAUAGGUCUAAACAAAAA